CCUACGGGUGGCAGCAGUGAGGAAUAUUGGUCAAUGGCCGGAAGGCUGAACCAGCCAUGCCGCGUGAAGGUCAGUGCCCUAUGGGCGUUAAACUUCUUUUGUGCGGGAGCAAUAAUGGUCACGUGUGGCCAGACGAGAGUACCGUACGAAUAAGCAUCGGCUAACUCCGUGCAAGCAGCCGCGGUAAUACGGGGGAUGCAAGCGUUAUCCGGACUUCUUGGGUUUAAAGGGUGCGUAGGCUGUGAGGUAAGUCAGCGGUGAAAUGCCCCCGCUCAACGGGGUGAAGUGCCAUUGAGACUGCCUUGCUGGAAUGCGGAGGCCGUGGGAGGAAUGUGUGGUGUAGCGGUGAAAUGCAUAGAUAUCACACAGAACACCGAUUGCGAAGGCAUCUCACGAAUCCGCGAUUGACGCUGAUGCACGAAAGCGUGGGUAUCAAACAGGAUUAGAUACCCCUGUAGUC
rnacentral:rRNA from 1 species